rnacentral:rRNA from 1 species
GGAUUAGAUACCCUGGUAGUCCACGCUGUAAACGAUGUCUACUUGGAGGUUGUGACCUAGAGUCGUGGCUUUCGGAGCUAACGCGUUAAGUAGACCGCCUGGGGAGUACGGUCGCAAGAUUAAAACUCAAAUGAAUUGACGGGGGCCCGCACAAGCGGUGGAGCAUGUGGUUUAAUUCGAUGCAACGCGAAGAACCUUACCUACUCUUGACAUUCAGAGAAGCCGAAAGAGAUUUUGGUGUGCCUUCGGGAACUCUGAGACAGGUGCUGCAUGGCUGUCGUCAGCUCGUGCCG